GGCAGGUGGAGCGGAUCGGGGCGUUCCGGCCGUUGACGCCGGCCGCGGUCGAGGAUCCGAUCCUCGCCCUGCUGC
rnacentral:tRNA from 1 species